AUAUCAAUAAGCGGAGGAAAGGAAACCAACAGGGAUUGCCCUAGUAACGGCGAGUGAAGCGGCAACAGCUCAAAUUUGAAAUCUGGCUCUUUUAGAGUCCGAGUUGUAAUUUGCAGAAAGCGCUUUGGCGUUAGCAGCAGUCUAAGUUCCUUGGAACGGGGCGUCAUAGAGGGUGAGAAUCCCGUACGUGGCUGCUAGCUUUCGCCGUGUAAAGCCUUUUCGACGAGUCGAGUUGUUUGGGAAUGCAGCUCUAAAUGGGAGGUAAAUUUCUUCUAAAGCUAAAUACUGGCCAGAGACCGAUAGCGCACAAGUAGAGUGAUCGAAAGAUGAAAAGCACUUUGGAAAGAGAGUCAAACAGCAC
rnacentral:rRNA from 1 species